UAUUAACAAUCUGUUAAGAAUAUAAAGCUCUAAAAAUGAGACUAUAAUUUCAAUGUAAGUUCUCUCUCUCUCUCUUUUCCCACUUCCCUUCUCCUGCCUCGCUCUUUUUGUGAGUCUCGUCAUACUGUGGCAGCUAAUCUCCAAAUGAGACACUCAUUUUUAGGUGUUAUUCAAGUCUUCAUGAUAAAGGGACUGAGACUGUAAAGACAAAUCCUAGACCAGGCUUGUCUAGGAAGACUUCAUAGCCCAGAGGAUAAUGCGAAUGGAGUGAGGCUGGAGUUGUAAGCAGGCACCCAGGAAGUGCAGUGGAAACACAAAGGACUCAUUAAAUCGACUGGCUGAGUUAAAGCUCCUACAACCAGAUGCAGGUGCUGUGGAGGCUGGAGGUGAUCCAGGUGCCCUGGAGCUGGAGCAGCUAUGAGCCACCUGAUAUGGAUGGAAGUCCUCUUAAAGAGUACUUCGUUCAAAUCUGCUGAGCUACCUCGCCAACCCUUUGACUGGACUUGUGCCCUUCUCAGCUGGCCUUCUCCUCCUCUUCCUCCUCCUCCUCUUCCUCUUCUCUUUCUUCCUUCUCCUCCUUUUUUAUUUUUGCCAUAUUUGAUUCACCUACCAAGCCAUUAACCAAUCAGGCGCAGUGCAUGUCUCCUCAAACACACUCCGGCACUUAGUUCUCAAACCUAGGACAAAGCUCAUGAGGCAACAGUGACUUAAAGUGAAUUGAAAA
rnacentral:lncRNA from 1 species